rnacentral:rRNA from 1 species
UAGGGAAUCUUCCGCAAUGGGCGAAAGCCUGACGGAGCAACGCCGCGUGAGUGAUGAAGGUCUUCGGAUCGUAAAACUCUGUUAUUAGGGAAGAACAUAUGUGUAAGUAACUGUGCACAUCUUGACGGUACCUAAUCAGAAAGCCACGGCUAACUACGUGCCAGCAGCCGCGGUAAUACGUAGGUGGCAAGCGUUAUCCGGAAUUAUUGGGCGUAAAGCGCGCGUAGGCGGUUUUUUAAGUCUGAUGUGAAAGCCCACGGCUCAACCGUGGAGGGUCAUUGGAAACUGGAAAACUUGGGUGCAGAAGAGGAAAGUGGAAUUCCAUGUGUAGCGGUGAAAUGCGCAGAGAUAUGGAGGAACACCAGUGGCGAAGGCGACUUUCUGGUCUGUAACUGACGCUGAUGUGCGAAAGCGUGGGGAUCAAACAGGAUUAGAUACCCUGGUAGUCCACGCCGUAAACGAUGAGUGCUAAGUGUUAGGGGGUUUCCGCCCCUUAGUGCUGCAGCUAACGUAUUAAGCACUCCGCCUGGGGAGUACGACCGCAAGGUUG